GAUGAACGCUGGCGGCGUGCCUAAUACAUGCAAGUCGAGCGAACAGACGAGGAGCUUGCUCCUCUGACGUUAGCGGCGGACGGGUGAGUAACACGUGGAUAACCUACCUAUAAGACUGGGAUAACUUCGGGAAACCGGAGCUAAUACCGGAUAAUAUAUUGAACCGCAUGGUUCAAUAGUGAAAGACGGUUUUGCUGUCACUUAUAGAUGGAUCCGCGCCGCAUUAGCUAGUUGGUAAGGUAACGGCUUACCAAGGCAACGAUGCGUAGCCGACCUGAGAGGGUGAUCGGCCACACGGGAACUGAGACACGGUCCAGACUCCUACGGGAGGCAGCAGUAGGGAAUCUUCCGCAAUGGGCGAAAGCCUGACGGAGCAACGCCGCGUGAGUGAUGAAGGUCUUCGGAUCGUAAAACUCUGUUAUUAGGGAAGAACAAAUGUGUAAGUAACUAUGCACGUCUUGACGGUACCUAGUCAGAAAGCCACGGCUAACUACGUG
rnacentral:rRNA from 1 species